rnacentral:rRNA from 1 species
GGCGGCAGCCCUUAUACAUGCAAGUCGAACGAGAAAGUUCCUUCGGGAGCGAGUAAAGUGGCGGACGGGUGAGUAACGCGUAGGAAUCUACCUUUCAGUGGGGGAUAGCUCGAGGAAACUCGAAUUAAUACCGCAUAUACCUUUAGAGGGAAAGGGGGCCUCUCCUUGGAAGCUCUCGCUGUUAGAUGAGCCUGCGUGAGAUUAGCUUGUUGGUAAGGUAAUGGCUUACCAAGGCUACGAUCUCUAGCUGGUCUGAGAGGACGAUCAGCCACACUGGGACUGAGACACGGCCCAGACUCCUACGGGAGGCAGCAGUAGGGAAUAUUGGACAAUGGGGGAAACCCUGAUCCAGGCAUGCCGCGUGUGUGAAGAAGGCCUUAGGGUUGUAAAGCACUUUAAGUGAGGAAGAAAAGAUAAAAGUUAAUAUCUUUUAUCCCUGACAUUACUCACAGAAUAAGGACCGGCUAACUCCGUGCCAGCAGCCGCGGUAAUACGGAGGGUCCAAGCGUUAAUCGGAAUUACUGGGCGUAAAGCGCGCGUAGAUGGUUUAUUUAGUUGGAUGUGAAAGCCCUGGGCUCAACCUAGGAACUGCAUUCAAAACUUAUAGACUAGAGUACGAAAGAGGAGAGUAGAAUUCAUGGUGUAGCGGUGAAAUGCGUAGAUAUCAUGAGGAAUACCAGUGGCGAAGGCGACUCUCUGGUUCGAGACUGACAUUGAGGUGCGAAAGCGUGGGUAGCAAACAGGAUUAGAUACCCUGGUAGUCCACGCCGUAAACGAUGAGAACUAGCCGUUGGAUCGUAAGAUUCAGUGGCACAGCUAACGCAUUAAGUUCUCCGCCUGGGGAG